rnacentral:rRNA from 1 species
AAUAACGAUACGGGACUCUAUUGAGGCCCCGUAAUCGGAAUGAGUACACUUUAAAUCCUUUAACAAGGAUCCAUUGGAGGGCAAGUCUGGUGCCAGCAGCCGCGGUAAUUCCAGCUCCAAUAGCGUAUAUUAAAGUUGUUGCGGUUAAAAAGCUCGUAGUUGGUUCUGCGUGCCACGCUGUCGGUUCGCCGCCUGUCGGUGUAACUGGCAUGUCGUGGCAUGUCCUGUCGGUGGUGAACGGAAUUUUCGAUGUUGUGUAGGCUUUUAUAGCUGAAGCAAGUGUCGUUUAAAUUUCGUUUGCCGAUUUCUCCUACUUCGGUGCUCUUAAACGAGUGUCGAGGUAGGCCGACACGUUCACUUUGAACAAAUUAGAGUGCUUAAAGCAGGCUGAAAUAUCUGCCUGAAUAGUGGUGCAUGGAAUGAUAAAAUAGGAUCUCAGUUCUAUUUUGUUGGUUUUAAGAGUAUGAGGUAAUGAUCAAUGUGGACAGGCGGGGGCAUUCGUAUUGCGACGUUAGAGGUGAAAUUCUUGGAUCGUCGCAAGACGCACUAGAGCGAAAGCAUUUGCCAAGUAUGUCUUAAUUGAUCAAGAACGAAAGUUAGAGGUUCGAAGGCGAUCAGAUACCGCCCUAGUUCUAACCAUAAACGAUGCCAGCCAGCGAUCCGCCGAUGUUCCUAUAAUGACUCGGCGGGGAGCUUCCAACCCGGGAAACCAAAGCUUUUGGGUUCCGGGGGAAGUAUGGUUGCAAAGCUGAAACUUAAAGGAAUUGACGGAAGG